AUAGAUUACUCUUCAACAAUCUAAUUCGCCAGAGUACUACGGACAACAGUCUAAAACUCAAAGGACUUGGCGGUGCUUCACAUCCCUCUAGAGGAGCCUGUCCUGUAAUCGAUAAACCCCGAUAAACCUCACCAGUCCUUGCUAAUCCAGCCUAUAUACCGCCAUCCUCAGCAAACCCUAAAAAGGAACUACAGUAAGCGCAAACACCAAACGCAAAAACGUUAGGUCAAGGUGUAGCCCAUGGACUGGAAAGAGAUGGGCUACAUUUUCUUGUCCAAGAACAUAACCAACUAACGGAUACUCUUGUGAAAACCAAGAGUGUAAGGAGGAUUUAGUAGUAAGCCAAGAACAGAGAGCUUGACUGAAU
rnacentral:rRNA from 1 species